UGGCUGACAACUGCAGGUCUGCCACCUUCGACGCAGAGACGCUGGAGUGCCGCCUGAGCAGGGCCAGCCGGCGCCAGUUCCCGGACGACUACGUGGAAGCCGGCCGAGGCGUCGAGUACCUAGAGAACCAGUGUCUGGGCGCGGACACGCGCUGCGACUACGUGCCGACCACGGACAAGUACCCGCGCUACAUCGACCUGACGAUCCCGCGCGUGGACCGCAUCACGGACUGCGAGCGGCUCUGCACGAACAACCGCCAGUUCGUGUGCCGCUCGUUCGCUCUGUACACCACGGCCGGACAGUGUCUGCUGAGCGGAGACGAUGAGAUCUCGGCCGGUGAGAAGGCCUAUCUGUCACGCGCCGGGACGGACUUCUACCAGCGGGACUGCGUGGGUCGUCGUCCUGGCGGCGGCGGCAGACCUGAUGGCGGCAGGCCUGAUGGCGG